rnacentral:rRNA from 1 species
UUCGGGGAACCAGGCCGUUCUAAGGGUGGGGACAGAUGAUUAGGGGUGAAGUCGGUAACAAGGUAGCCGCUAGGAGAACCUGCGGCUGGAUCACCUCCUUU